GCGCCUGUAGCUCAGAAGGAUAGAGCAAGGGAUUCCUAAUCCCUUGGUCGGAGGUUCGAAUCCUCUCAGGCGCACCA
rnacentral:tRNA from 1 species